CAGUAGCCGCGGGAAUACGAAGGGGGCUAGCGUUGUUCGGAUUUACUGGGCGUAAAGCGCACGUAGGCGGAUUCUUAAGUCAGAGGUGAAAUCCCAAGGCUCAACCUUGGAACUGCCUUUGAUACUGGGGAUCUUGAGUUCGGGAGAGGUGAGUGGAACUGCGAGUGUAGAGGUGAAAUUCGUAGAUAUUCGCAAGAACACCAGUGGCGAAGGCGGCUCACUGGCCCGAUACUGACGCUGAGGUGCGAAAGCGUGGGGAGCAAACAGGAUUAGAGACCCCCGUAGUCCCUGUCUCUUAUAC
rnacentral:rRNA from 1 species